rnacentral:rRNA from 1 species
GACGAACGCUGGCGGCGUGCUUAACACAUGCAAGUCGAACGGGAGUAUUGAAGAAGCUUGCUUUAGAGAUACUUUAGUGGCGGACGGGUGAGUAACGCGUGAGGAGCUGUCCAAUGCAGGGGGACAACAGUUGGAAACGACUGCUAAUACCGCAUAAGCCGAGAGGUAAAAGGAUUUAUCCGGCAAUGGAGGUACCGGCGUCCUAUCAGCUAGUAGGUGAGGUAACGGCUCACCUAGGCGAAGACGGGUAGCCGGCCUGAGAUGGCGAACGGCCACACUGGAACUGAGAUACGGUCCAGACUCCUACGGGAGGCAGCAGUGGGGACUAUUGGGCAAUGGGGGGAACCCUGACCCAGCGACGCCGCGUGGGUGAAGAAAUCCUUCGGGAUGUAAAGCCCUGUUGUAUGGGAAGAGCGGAAGACGGUACCAUACGAGGAAGCCCCGGCAAACUACGUGCCAGCCGCCGCCGUAA